rnacentral:tRNA from 2 species
GCGGGCGUAGUUCAUCGGUAGAACGACAGCUUCCCAAGCUGUAGAGGCCAGUUCGAUUCUGGUCGCCCGCU